rnacentral:misc_RNA from 1 species
GAGAUUCUUCUAAAUUAUUUUUCUCAAUUCAAUAAUUUCUAAAUCAUGAAAUCAAUAAUGAAGCUAUGAUAUCAAAAUUCACUUUUGUCAACCAUUAUCACUAUUUAAUUUGCUAUGACAAUGCCAGCCAAAUCGGAGACGAAAAUUUAUUUUUUCAAUUUAUAUAUUUUGCUCAUAAAAAUUGGAAAAGUAAAUAAUAAAACUGAAGCAGAAAAAGAGAAGUAUUUGCUGUCCAAGGAUCCAUCACGAUGUCUAACCUCGGCCAAGAAUGCAUACCAAAUUACCAAAUACUUGAUGAGCAUUAGAGAGAGCAGCAUUGCAGUAAGAAUAUGACCAAAUGAGUUCUUGCAUUUGAUAUAAGUUCUGUCCAAUCCUAAUCAAAGCAAAAUGACUGCUAUAUAGAGCUCUCCUGUUUCCUAGAACAAGAGUGUUGUAGACACACAAAGUGUUCCCAAAUCUCCCACAUGCUGAAGACCGAAAAACAUCUUGGAGAUGCAAAUUGACAACCAUCAGCUUGCUGAAUUCUCGUGCAAUAGUACGUAUUCUCGGCUACUGUUACCAAAUUUAAUCGUGUCUUUCUCAAAAAGCUCAUAAUAACGUUGAGGUUCAAUCGGAUUAUCAUUAAUGAAAGUUUUAUUUGUGCUUCCAAGAUCCAUUAAAUAAGGCCUUACUUGCUUAGAUAAGUUACCAUCAUGCUGCUCCUUUUCUACUUGACGGAAUUGAAUGACAGCAUGUUGCUUGCUACAGGAUGGGUGGUCUGUAGGAAUAUCUGCAACCCUUCUUUCUCUCCCAAAAAGGUAACAGGUCUGACGAUGUAUAUAGAGGGGCUCAUUCAGCACAUCACCAUUCUUAAAGACAUAGAGUCGCCAUCUUAUAUCAGGUUUGCGAGCAUCUGGGGGCUCAUUGAACAGUAGUGUAACACCUCUAACUCUGUUGGUUUCCGCAGCAAGUUUUCCAGAUAGCUCAAAUGAAGGUUGUUGCUGCAGUUGCAAUGAUGAUGACCAAAAUAAGGCAACAGAAUCUAGAUAAAAUGAACAUUUUCACUUUUGCUUUGAUUCCAAGGCCUCCUCAGCAGCCUUCAUCUUUGCCACAGAAUCAUCAUCGUCAUUCCUGCCCAAGCAUAAAAGCAGCCUCAACACUUGCUCGAAGUAUCGGCAAUGCUACCCCAGCAUUAUCAGAUAAAGAUUAAAAGUAAAAGCAAAACAAGAAAAUUAGUGCAACACCAUAGUUUAUCCUCUCACCUACACUUCAGUACAAAUAAGACUAAUGUGAAAAACACAAAAUGACUGGGAAAUUGUCACAGUGAUUGUGCAAAUGCCAUCCUCACUUUGCCACAUUUAUCAAGUAUAAAGCUAAGAAGAAAAACUUAAUAGACCAAUGAACAUAGAUUGCUUCUUUCCUGUGCUCUCCUUUUCAUGGUAAAGACUAUCAAAAUAUGACGAGGCUAUUGUGUUAUGUUGGAGAAAUCAUAUUGCUUCAACUGACCCAUUGUGCUUAGAUUAUUCCCAUCCAUAAAAAUUGGAAAAAUGUGCCUCCCCAACCUGUUGCUUUUGCUUAUAAAUUCAUAUCAUUGUGGAAUAUGGCCUACAGAAUCUAAUGCAAAGUUCUCAGCCCACUAUCAUUGCUAUUCAUAAAAAGAGAUGGCAUUUCACACUGAACGUAUGUUACCAACACUUAGGUGCAAAUCUAAAGGGAAAACAAAGGUGAAGAAGCAGCUAACCAUCGUUCUGUUCCUCUAGAGUUGGUCACCUGAGAAGAUCAAAGUUUCAUCAGGCACUUGAAUUAAGCAUCAAUUUAAGCAAGAAAUGUAACUCUUAACAUGCAUGAAAGAAUUGAGAGUUUAGAAAAUACAAAUGUUCAUCAUUUUCCUGAUUAAAUUAAGUUCAAACUUCCUUCAUGUGACAAUGAUUAAGGGGCCAAUUUUCUGACAAUUUUAUAGCAUUUUGACAAUUUCCAUCUAAAAAAGGAAUUAUUUUGCAGUUGUAAGUGAUAACAGCGAACAACAGUUUUUCCAUGCACCAAACAACUUAAGACACUCAAGUAAAAGACAGAAAAGUAAUUAGUUGUGGAUAUCACCAGACACCUCGUCACGUUGUCUCCUAUGGACAUCUUGUUGAGGUGGUGAUAGAGAUCUAUGUUUGCUCCUAUGAUGGUGAUCUGAUGGAGAAGUUGAUUUCCCAUUCCUGGCUCUAGAAGACUUUCCAUCAAUUUCAUCUCUUCCUGACCUUCUCUCCUUUCUCUCAGCUCCACUUUCCCUAUCUUCACCUCUCUCUCUAUGAGUAUUAUGGUCACUAACCAUCCCAGGAUUCCUUUCAUGCUUUCUCUCAGUCAUUUUCUCAGUCUCUCUUUCUCUACGAUCACCUUUAUCACUUAUCCUGCCAUGACUUUUUUCAUGUUCUCUUAUAGAAAAAUUUUCCGUCUCUUUUUCCCUAUGUGUACCAUCUCCCUUUUCAUGAUUCCUUUCACGGUCCCUCUCCACUACAGUCUCAGUCUCUCUCUCAGCUUGUUCCCUCCUUAACCGCUUUGUUCUCAGAGACGGAGAGCAAGACCUUUCACGACUAGAAUUUUUCUCUCUUGCCGGUGCGGAGCUAUCCCUCUGGGAUCUCCUAUGCUGUGAUGGAGGAGAAUGAGACAUCUCAUGCCUUGGAGAUCUGGCGUAACUUGAGCGUUUCUCUCUUGCUGGAGAGCUAUCCCUACGGGAGCUCCUGUGUCGUGCCGGUGAUCUUUCUCUUUGAUAUGGGGUCGUCCUAUGUGGAGAACCACGACUUCUAAUGGGAGAUUGAGAAUGAUUAGACGAAUUACGCCUCAUUGGUAAUUACUGUCUGUGCAGUUAUGAAGAUACGAGGGCCAUCUGAGUAGUCAAUAGAGCAUUAGCGAACGGCAUUGUCUGAGGUGCCGCAAACGGGUCUGAAACCAUAAACCAGUAGUUGGCUGCUGAAAAAGAGAAGCCUCUUGUUGCCGCUAAAAACCUUUUCGGUUUUCAAUCAAUUGGGAUAGAGAGAGAGGCAGAGUAGGGGGUUGGCCGUGACUGUCGUACGCGAGUCACAGAAGACGGACCAAGUGAGGAUUCAGGAAGCGAGCAUGCUACAGUUUGAC